rnacentral:rRNA from 1 species
UACGAAGGGGGCUAGCGUUGUUCGGAAUUACUGGGCGUAAAGUGCGUGUAGGCGGGUCUUUAAGUCAGGGGUGAAAUGCCAAGGCUCAACCUUGGAACUGCCUUUGAUACUGGAGAUCUUGAGUCCGGGAGAGGUGAGUGGAAUUGCGAGUGUAGAGGUGAAAUUCGUAGAUAUUCGCAAGAACACCAGUGGCGAAGGCGGCUCACUGGCCCGGAACUGACGCUGAGACGCGAAAGCGUGGGGAGCAAACAGGG